GAGUUUGAUCCUGGCUCAGAGCGAACGCUGGCGGCAGGCCUAACACAUGCAAGUCGAACGGACCCUUCGGGGUUAGUGGCGGACGGGUGAGUAACACGUGGGAACGUGCCUUUAGGUUCGGAAUAGCUCCUGGAAACGGGUGGUAAUGCCGAAUGUGCCCUUCGGGGAAAGGAUUAUCGCCUUUAGAGCGGCCCGCGUCUGAUUAGCUAGUUGGUGAGGUAACGGCUCACCAAGGCGACGAUCAGAAGCUGGUCUGAGAGGAUGACCAGCCACACUGGGACUGAGACACGGCCCAGACUCCUACGGGAGGCAGCAGUGGGGAAUCUUGCGCAAUGGGCGAAAGCCUGACGCAGCCAUGCCGCGUGAAUGAUGAAGGUCUUAGGAUUGUAAAAUUCUUUCACCGGGACGAUAAUGACGGUACCCGGAGAGGAAGCCCCGGCUAACUUCGUGCCAGCCGCCGCCGU
rnacentral:rRNA from 1 species